GAGCAGGAAGAGUCCGAGCGGCGGGCGGAGUCUGCAGGAUGGCACCGGACCCCUGGUUCUCCACGUACGAUUCUACUUGUCAAAUUGCCCAAGAAAUUGCUGAGAAAAUUCAACAACGAAAUCAGUAUGAAAGAAAAGGUGAAAAGGCACCGAAGCUUACCGUGACAAUCAGAGCUUUGUUGCAGAACCUGAAGGAAAAGAUCGCCCUUUUGAAGGACUUAUUGCUAAGAGCUGUGGCAACACAUCAGAUAACACAGCUUGAAGGGGACCGAAGACAGAACCUCUUGGAUGAUCUUGUAACUCGAGAGAGACUACUUCUGGCAUCCUUUAAGAAUGAGGGUGCCGAACCAGAUCUAAUCAGGUCCAGCCUGAUGAGUGAAGAGGCUAAGCGAGGAGCACCCAACCCUUGGCUCUUUGAGGAGCCAGAGGAGACCAGAGGCUUGGGUUUUGAUGAAAUCCGGCAACAGCAGCAGAAAAUUAUCCAAGAACAGGACGCAGGCCUUGAUGCCCUUUCUUCCAUCAUAAAUCGCCAAAAACAAAUGGGGCAGGAAAUUGGGAAUGAAUUGGAUGAACAAAAUGAGAUAAUUGACGACCUUGCCAACCUGGUGGAGAACACAGAUGAAAAACUUCGCACUGAAACCAGGCGUGUAAACCUGGUGGACAGAAAGUCAACCUCUUGUGGGAUGAUCAUGGUGAUUUUACUGCUGCUCGUGGCUAUCGUGGUGGUUGCGGUCUGGCCAACUAAUUGAUGGCAGUAAAGAGACCACCAGCUGUGACACCUGCCAAUGACAGAUACAAGCCCAGCUCCCUUUUGCUUCCUUUGGAUGCAGAGGUCACUGUUCUCUGGGAGCCUGUUAGGCACCUGUGCUGUGUCCUCCCAGUAUACACUCAGCAAAUCGCAUCAUCUCCAUCUUAUGGAUGAGGAAACUGAGGCUCAGGUAAGCAACGGGACUCAUCCCAGAUCCCCUGAGAAGCAUAUGAUUAGGACAGUCUUGGGAAGCUGAGCAGAACAAAGAGGUGGUUCUGCCUUCCCAGAGGUGGCCAGGAGGUACUGGGGCUGGCAGGGCCACUGAGGGGAUGGGGGCUUCACCUCCUGGGGCCAGCUACAGAUGGGACAGGAGAGAUGGGCUACGUCCAGCUGGAGUGAGGAGGAGGACGGAAGGAGGUGGGCAGAUAUGGAUUGUUGUGGGCCCAGAAGAGGGUGACCAGCCCCAGGCUCAGUCCCCGGCCCACCAGGUCAAGGAGAGGCCCCAUGCUAGAAAGAACCACGCCUGGAUUCAGGAGCCCUGGGCCUGGGGCUCCUUCCUGGCCUACGGUGGCGGGGCCUCAGCCACCCACAUGGAUGCCCUGGCUGUAUGCAGGGGCCUUGCCAGUGGUCAGCUGGACAAUACUUUUGGGGUUUCUGUUUACAUCCCCCAUUCUGAAGAGCCCCCGCCACCAGCCCCAGCUCUUUACACACACCUGCCUGCUGGCCACUGCAGGCUCCCAGACCGUCUCCGCCCUCCACAACCACCGUGAGGGCAAGCGGACAGGACACACCCUUCCUGGGAAGGGAGCCUGAGGUCACAGGUGACAGCAAUGUCUGCAGGCCCCCAGGACUGUCUGCCCCAUAGGUCCGGGCACUGGAACUUCCGGUGCAUAGGAAUGAGGGCUGAGCCGUUUACAGCGCAGACUUCCGGCCCCGCUACAGCCUGGCGGAACAUUUGAAAUGCACCGGGGAGCUCCCAGCCCCUGUCUGAUGCCCAGAGAGCUUCCCUUUGAGCAACGUGGACUCGGUUCAAAUCCCCGCAGUAUCAUGCAGACACAGAAGACCACAGAGCCCAACCAUGGCCUUUCCCUGCCAGCCAUCGCUGCUCUUUGAACAAGGAGACACAAUUCCUUCGCUAAGUCUGUGUGUGACAGCUUCACGCGACGGCACAGCCCAUCGCAGAGGCCCAGCAAAUCUCCCCCGGUCUGCCCUGCCGCCAGCACUCAGCAGGCAGGAUCUCCUUCUCUCACAACCCUUCUUUGAUGUGUAGGUAUCAUUCCCAUUCUGCAGACAAGAAAACUGAGGCUCAAAGAGGGUAAGCCACCUGCCCAGUGCACGCCGGGUAGCUACUGUCAAGGCUGGCCUGAGAUGCCGAGAUCCCUGCACUCUUGGUUAGGCGAUACUCUGACAGAUUCCCCCCUCAGUGUGAGCGGAGGUGAGCUCAGAGCCAGGGAUGAGGAAUGCCCUGUAUUUUAGCAAUUCCCAGACUGCCGAGGGGAAGAGCAGCCAGGCUGGCCAUGGGGAAGGAGUGCGGAGCUGGAGGGGGCCCAGCCUGGUCUAGAAGCAGUGGUGGCAUGGGUUGGUAAGAAGUCGGCUGCGUGUGUGUCCCGGUGAGGGAGCAGGAAAAGAGGACCAGGCGGGGAAAGAUUCAACAUACACGUGCACACACGGGCGGCUGCUCCAGGGGUAGGUGGCAGCCUCUGUCCCGCAGACGGAAAACCAAGGUCAAGGUAGGCGAGGAGUGAUUUGUGUGGGAGCACAGGGGGAAGCACAAGCAGGAAAGCUGAGGCCUCCUGGUGCCGUCUGCACCCCAACCCACGGCUUAGAUCUACAGGGAGUGUUCAGGCAGCCCUCUCCAGAGCUGGCCUCUAGCGGCUGCUGCCUCCAUCAAGGUCCUGGGAUACAUUGACUGAUGCCUCAAUGAAGAUCAAUGCAGCUCCAUCCCACUACCUUGGGGGCCAUGGGUGUGGCAGCCUCCCCCUGCUUCCUGUGCCAGCCUCUUGGGGCCCCCAGUUAGGAACCAGUCUGAGGAAAUGGGAGAAAAACAGCCCUGCUUCCUGCUGCCUAUGAUCUAAGCCCUCGGAGCCCCUUCAUGACACCCCGGCUCCACGACGCUGGUGGCCACAGUACCCAUCCCUUCUGCCAUCUGGAUGGCUGCUUGGUUGCUGGAGUAGGGAUUUCUUGAGGUGCAGGGACUGGGCUGUCCAGAGAGAGUGGCCCUCACUCUACUGUGGCCAAGCCUGAGAGGUUGGAUGAAAGUGACGGCAGCCCAAACACAGAAGUCAACGGCGCCAUCAGCACCACCGGCACCGUGGCCGCACUUCCCUGUGGGGAAUAGCCGCUCUGGGCCACCUCUUUGCCAGCUCAGGGACAGAUGACGCUCACAAUGAAGCCACUACUGGGGCUGAACCCAGGUUGUGCGUAAGUCCUGGAGAUUCUGCGUGAGCUGGCUGAAAUCCCUUCCUGCUUUCUCCACUUAGGGAAGCGCAUUGGAAUGCAAGCGGUGCCCAGUGACGUUCUCGCAGGGGCGGCCUUGAAUCCAUUCUCCUUGCCUUGUUAUUUGAUUGUAUUAUUAUUAUUUUACAAAAGCCAUCAUCCCACACCAGCGCUUUCAUUUCCAGUCAGGAGGAAAUCCCUUUCACCUGCCUCCUCGCCAUGGGCCAAGGCGCACCCCUUCAUCUCAGCCUCGUAGAUAGCACAGGCUGGGGCAGAGAGGGGGCCUUUGAGCACGUCAGCUCUUCCCAGCCUCAGAGAUGUUUUGAGGGAGGGACUGCAGUGCCUGGCUUAGAACUGAGAGCGCAGAAAGGUUCCAGAGCAGGCUGCCCAAGGUAAGCUCCGCCCCAGGGGGGCAGCAGGGAGGCAGAUGAGUCCCGGGACAGCCUGCCCCUGUCCCUUCGGCGUCACUGUCCCAGCCUAGAAACCUCUACAGCUCUUCUCUCCAGAGCCAAGUGUCUACCUGGGACAGAGACUGCCCUAGAAUGUGUGGCAUCCAUCACUGCCUAAUUAGAUUGCACUCCCAGGCCCCGCUUGACAAAUCACAGUCAUCACCCAUGAAUAUCCAGUGUGUACCUCACUAAUGGCAGCGACUCCCACCAUACUAAUGAGGCGCUGGGCACUGUUCUCACGGUUGAUGAACUCGUCUUGGCCCUUCAAUCAGGCCCCAUUUUCUAGAUGAGAAUCUAAGGCACGGAGAUACUGGUGACUCACCAGCUCAAGGUCGUGUGCCCAGUGAGGCAGCCUGGCGGCCGAGCCCCUGCUGUUAACCUCCUGCUCCCAGCCCUGGCUAUGCAGCGGCAUCACGAUGCCUGGGUCCUGCUCCCAGGACUUUCUGAUUUCUUUGGUUAAGGGAGUGACCUGAGUGUCUGAAUUUUUUUAAUGGUCCCCAGAUGGUUCUAAAGCACAGCCAGGGUUAGAACCACAGUCUGAACCAAUUGUGAGAGAUGGGGACAGUCUCUGCAUCCAUGAUUAGCACUGAGCACCCAGUGUGGCAGAGGAAAGAUCCAGAUAAGGUGGCUGCUGAGUCCAACUGGAGAGUGCUCAGAGAGAGAACCUCAGGCUGCUUGCCCUAACAGAAAAUGACAUCAGCCUCUGAGCAUUUGGACUUGCAUUUGCUUUUUUUUUUUUUUUUUUUUUUGGUGUCUUUCCUUUCUGUCAGCUGGAAAUUCUUGUCAGAUCAGUGUCAGAUCAGUGUGCUUGUUGCAAAAUGUCCCGUACGCCCUUCAGAUUUGCUAGGAAAACAAAGACCAAGCUUGCUAGAAUUGUAUGUAAAAUACAGGUAACUAGGCUUGGAAGGAGAGGCUGAAACAUUCUCCCUUGGGUAAAGUGAAUAACCUUCAGAACAUGGACACUGGGACAGCUAUUUGGCUGCUUGUGGACUCUUUGUUUAGGUUGUAUUCCAGAUAGCUGAGGUCACUGGACAAUGGCCCCCGAACAAGGAAAAUGUUACUGUACGUUCUCUCUUUAUGGUACACACAAAGCUACAGAGAGUGCUUCACGACGGACAAACCACAGCUUUAAAAUGCAGCUUUGACUCCUUCUUCAAACUGGCAUCUACUUGGCAGCCUCUCGUGUAGCUCCUCCUUGUUUUGUUCCAAAAUAGCCAUAGAGACAAUGAGAAAACCUGAACAUUCACACUAGUGCCAAAAAACGAAACUGAUGAUGACCCAACGCUGGGAUCUGGGAGCAAUCUCUAGUAAUUAAAGGCAGAUGGUGGUGGAAUAAGCAAAACCUGUUCAGGUUUUACCUCAGGACACAGCUCUUUGUCUGAUGAGCAGAAAGGUCCUGAAAAAAGGGAGGAGGACAGAGUGACAGGGACCAGAGAACAAAUAAGCAGGAAGUGAGUGGGGGCAGUGGGGACAAUCCCUCCUCCAGGGACGGGAAGUUUCAGAACUGGUAGGGACCAGAAGGACGGUAGUACAGCAAAGAUCUCACCUUGUAUUUCUUUUUCUUUUUUUUUUUUUUUUGAGAU